rnacentral:rRNA from 1 species
UACGUAGGGGGCAAGCGUUGUCCGGAAUUAUUGGGCGUAAAGGGCGCGUAGGCGGAUCUUUAAGUCUGGUGUGAAAGAUCAGGGCUCAACCCUGAGGGUGCAUCGGAAACUGGGGAUCUUGAGGACAGGAGAGGAAAGUGGAAUUCCACGUGUAGCGGUGAAAUGCGUAGAUAUGUGGAGGAACACCAGUGGCGAAGGCGACUUUCUGGACUGUAACUGACGCUGAGGUGCGAAAGCGUGGGGAUCAAACAGGAUUAGAAACCCCGUGUC